rnacentral:rRNA from 1 species
UACAGAGGGUGCAAGCGUUAAUCGGAAUUACUGGGCGUAAAGCGCACGUAGGUGGUUAUUUAAGUCGGAUGUGAAAUCCCUGGGCUUAACCUGGGCAUUGCAUACGAUACUGGGUAGCUAGAGUAUGGUAGAGGAAAGUGGAAUUUCCGGUGUAGCGGUGAAAUGCGUAGAUAUCGGAAGGAACACCAGUGGCGAAGGCGGCUUUCUGGACUAAUACUGACACUGAGGUGCGAAAGCGUGGGUAGCGAACAGG